rnacentral:lncRNA from 1 species
CACAGAGGAUCAGCAGAAUCUCCCUGAGGCCAGCCCCUCCUGAGCAAAGCAUAGCUUCAGCUCGCCCUCUGAGACCAGUGUUAACCAAGCUGGAAGCACAUCAGCUACUGUCCCGAAGAAAUGUUUGUGGAAGAUUUCUAAAAACGCAUUUCUGCCUCAGCAAAUUAUCUCCAAGAACACAGUGAGUAUGAAGAUAAGUAAGGGAGAGAAAUGAAUGAGAAACUAAAUUGAUUACUCCUGAGAUGGCUGGUGCCAAUGGCUUGCUCUGGGUAUAAAGAAGAGAUUUCACCACAAGCUUCUCCCCAGAGGUGGAAGGGGCAGAUCAGGUUGCUUUUCACUCCUGCCCCGCCCUGAGGAAUGGACUCAGUGACACUGCAGGCCUUUCUCUCCCCUGAUAUCUUUGAGUCAAGGCGCCGUGUUGACCAAGUGUGUCAGAUAAAGGACUACAAAAGUAUUGUCCAAAUUGCCCAGGGAGGAUGUGGCCAACAUUCCUAGGUGUGUUUGCAAAAAUGGCUGAGAGACUAGGUGCAAAGUGAGGGAUGCUGGCAAAGCACGCCUGUAUUUGGAGACCAGUGGUUCUCUCCGGCCACAGGUACUUCUGAUGAAUCUCUUCCAACAGAGUAAUACACACACCUUCAAACUUAACUGCAGAGGAAGAAUCCUACGCUCAAAACCGCACAGAAUGAGUCCUAUCCAGAAACAAAAUAUGCUGAAAUUCAAGAACCCGACCUGAAUAACUGCCUGUGUGACUCGUCAAAGCUGAGCCCCCUCCACAGAGUGAGCCGGGCCCGUCACGUGGUGCCCUGCAGCCUGGGUGGAGCAUCCUGACCCCUUCACUGGAAAAAUGCGGGAAGGGCCUGUCCCCUCUCAGCUCCCCUGACUGCGCUCUGGGUCUUUCCGACUCUGUAAAAGACAAUCAAAUAAAAAUGCUAUUUUCCCAUAAUCAGAAAAUAUUCUCCAUUUGGACUUUUCCCAGGACCUUAAAUUUAAACUGUUGAAAUUCUUUAUUACAUGCUUCCCUUGUCACCGACAUUUUGAAAUGGAGAAUUUACCUUUAUGGAAAAUCUGCAUUUUAUUAAAUGAUUGGUAAAAGUCAAGUCUUUAGUUAACUCUCAAAAGAAACAAAUUUUUGCUUUGUAAUGUAUGUGUAUAUAUAUAAUAUAUAAUAAUAUAUAAUAUAUAUGUUAUAUACAAUAAUAUAUAAUAAUAUACACAUAUAUAUGUAUAUACAGCAGCAAAUGUAGUCUAAGAAAGGGAAGACGAGACAUAUUGACAUAUGGAUCAUGCACCUUUAAAGAUGCCUCUGUAUUAGGAUUCCGAG